CAAUAUGGCAAAGUCAUUAUAUCCGAUAUUAAAAAUAAUAACCUUACAUACUGUGUGGAUAAUAUUUACUUCUUGUCUUUUUGAUGUACAUGCUGAAAUAAAGCUGGAACAGUCAGGUCCCAUAAUUCUAAAACCUGGGCAGUCACAUCAGUUAUCAUGUAAAGCCUCUGGGUUUACAUUCAGUAGCUACUACAUGAACUGGGUCCGUCAAUCGCAAGCAAAAGGACUGGAAUGGGUGGGAGGAAUAUACACUGAUGGCAGUGUCAAAGAAUAUGCGUCAUCUGUAAAGGACAGAUUCACUAUCAACAGAGACAAUUCUAAGGACAUGCUGUAUUUAGACAUGAACAAUGUACAGAUUGCAGACACGGCUGUUUACUACUGUGCUCGCACGGUGUGA